GGGGGGAGUGUAGGAUCCUGGGCUGUAUCCCCUGGCACCCUGCGAUCCGGGGCCUGUGCUGCUGGAAUCUCACUCCUGGGGCUGUGCAGCCCCCU
rnacentral:pre_miRNA from 1 species